CACUGAGGCUCGUGAUUGACGCAAGCUUUGUUGCUAAAUUUAGCAUCUGUGCGACCGGAUAGCACAGAGCCCAUUCAUUGUGAUCCAGCCGAGCCAAAUAUAGUCGUAGACAGGUAUUUUUAGCUGGAAAGCGUGUCCCCGUUUUCAUCCGCCGAGGCAACCUGAGCGAUGUGGAGCCGAGUCAGAGACGAGCUCCACGAUCGAAUCCUCCAUUGUUCAUUUGUCGUGGAGUGGAGGGCAACUUUUACAAUCAGCUGAUCGGGGGCAGGGAGACACGCUCUCACCGCCUCUCUGCGUCCAGCUCUCCCCGGGAAAAAAGGUUUGAGAGGGAAUCACGUGAAACACACAGAGCAACGACAGGGUAUCAGCUGCCUCCACUGUGACCUCACCAUGGUGACGUGUAAAUCCAGAUUAACCAGCUCUCUUAUUCCGCCAGACAUGGACGUGAUUAGAGAUUAUGACUGCGUCCUUUUAAUAGAAUUGGACAUGUGGGUAAUCAAGUGCGUCCACCAAAGUUGUGUCAGGGUGAGGCUCCUCACAAGCUGAAUGUGGUAGCCAGUUUGUGCCAGACAGGAACAAAACAGAAACAUCUCAGCUAAACAUGCA